UACGAAGGGGGCUAGCGUUGUUCGGAAUCACUGGGCGUAAAGGGCGUGUAGGCGGGAAGGAAAGUCGGGCGUGAAAUCCCUGGGCUCAACCCAGGAACUGCACUCGAAACUUCUUUUCUUGAGUGCCGGAGAGGAAAGCGGAAUACCUGGUGUAGAGGUGAAAUUCGUAGAUAUCAGGUGGAACACCAGUGGCGAAGGCGGCUUUCUGGACGGUAACUGACGCUGAGACGCGAAAGCGUGGGGAGCAAACAGG
rnacentral:rRNA from 1 species